CCCAUGUUAAUAUAUUGUCUAAUGAAAGACGUUGUCAUUACUAAUAAAUUCUAUGAUGUUUUGACAGGCUAUACCUCUGAAACGCUAGAAGGAUCCAUAUAUGUUGGCACUCCCAACGUUUGCGAAAGAUCCUUAAGUCAAGGCUGCACUGACUUUCUGGUUGCUGAAGAUGGUGGUUGUUUCAUAUUGUUGAGACUCUUUCCAGACCUCCAAUGCAUACAAUAGACAUUGUCCUGACUGAGGGAAGAUAAUUUUUCAAUGGUAAUGGUCAUAUUGUCCCACUGGACAUGUCAAAUUUGUCAAUGGAAGCGUGAAUUUUAAUCGAGAUUUGGAUGAGUUUCCUCAAGUGCUAUUCCCUUUGAUUCAAGCUAUUUUCGUCGAAGAAGAAAUUAUGCUCCUUAGUUGUAGGUUCCAUAAAUUCUCUAGUAUAGCGUUAGGCAUGACUGUUUUAGGUUGUGUAGUUAUUCCCUUAUUCACGACGUGGUCAUGAUCUUUGUGCACAGCUCCACUAUGAUCAUGGCCUUCUCUUAUAACCACGGUCAUAGUGCGGUUGAUGGUGCUAAAACCAAGGAACGUGGGUUUCUCGUGUCAUUGAGUCUUAUUAUGUUUCGACUUAGCCUAAGUCUCUUAUGACCCAUGAACUGAGUUAAUGACUUUGAGAAAGAAUCAACUUUCCUUACUCGACUGUUCUAACAUCGCCUUACCUUCGAUUAGCUGAAAAGCUGUCUCCUAAAAGUUUAAUCGCCUAUCUAUCGAAUCUGGC
rnacentral:lncRNA from 1 species